rnacentral:rRNA from 1 species
CCUACGGGAGGCAGCAGUGGGGAAUAUUGGGCAAUGGAGGCAACUCUUACCCAGCAAUGCCGCGUGAAUGAAGAAGGUCUUCGGAUUGUAAAGUUCUGUAAUCGGGGACGAAAAAAAUGACGGUACCCAAGGAAUAAGCCCGGGCUAAACACGUGCCAGCAGCCGCGGUAAUACGUAGGGGGCAAGCGUUGUUCGGAAUGACUGGGCGUAAAGGGUUUGUAGGCGGGGUUGCACGUUAGAAGUGAAAUACCUAGGGCUUAACCCAGGUGCUGCUUCUAAAACUGGUAUACUGGAGUGCAGUAGAGGAGAGUGGAACUCCUGGUGUAGCGGUGGAAUGCGUAGAUAUUAGGAGGAACAUCAGUGGCGAAGGCGACUUUCUGGACUGUAACUGACGCUGAGGCACGAAAGUGUGGGGAGCAAACAGGAUUAGAUACCCCAGUAGUC